GGUUAAGCGACUAAGCGUACACGGUGGAUGCCCUGGCAGUCAGAGGCGAUGAAGGACGUGCUAAUCUGCGAUAAGCGUCGGUAAGGUGAUAUGAACCGUUAUAACCGGCGAUUUCCGAAUGGGGAAACCCAGUGUGUUUCGACACACUAUCAUUAACUGAAUCCAUAGGUUAAUGAGGCGAACCGGGGGAACUGAAACAUCUAAGUACCCCGAGGAAAAGAAAUCAACCGAGAUUCCCCCAGUAGCGGCGAGCGAACGGGGAGCAGCCCAGAGCCUGAAUCAGUGUGUGUGUUAGUGGAAGCGUCUGGAAAGGCGCGCGAUACAGGGUGACAGCCCCGUACACAAAAAUGCACAUACUGUGAGCUCGAUGAGUAGGGCGGGACACGUGGUAUCCUGUCUGAAUAUGGGGGGACCAUCCUCCAAGGCUAAAUACUCCUGACUGACCGAUAGUGAACCAGUACCGUGAGGGAAAGGCGAAAAGAACCCCGGCGAGGGGAGUGAAAAAGAACCUGAAACCGUGUACGUACAAGCAGUGGGAGCACGCUUAGGCGUGUGACUGCGUACCUUUUGUAUAAUGGGUCAGCGACUUAUAUUCUGUAGCAAGGUUAACCGAAUAGGGGAGCCGAAGGGAAACCGAGUCUUAACUGGGCGUUAAGUUGCAGGGUAUAGACCCGAAACCCGGUGAUCUAGCCAUGGGCAGGUUGAAGGUUGGGUAACACUAACUGGAGGACCGAACCGACUAAUGUUGAAAAAUUAGCGGAUGACUUGUGGCUGGGGGUGAAAGGCCAAUCAAACCGGGAGAUAGCUGGUUCUCCCCGAAAGCUAUUUAGGUAGCGCCUCGUGAAUUCAUCUCCGGGGGUAGAGCACUGUUUCGGCAAGGGGGUCAUCCCGACUUACCAACCCGAUGCAAACUGCGAAUACCGGAGAAUGUUAUCACGGGAGACACACGGCGGGUGCUAACGUCCGUCGUGAAGAGGGAAACAACCCAGACCGCCAGCUAAGGUCCCAAAGUCAUGGUUAAGUGGGAAACGAUGUGGGAAGGCCCAGACAGCCAGGAUGUUGGCUUAGAAGCAGCCAUCAUUUAAAGAAAGCGUAAUAGCUCACUGGUCGAGUCGGCCUGCGCGGAAGAUGUAACGGGGCUAAACCAUGCACCGAAGCUGCGGCAGCGACGCUGAUGCGUUGUUGGGUAGGGGAGCGUUCUGUAAGCCUGUGAAGGUGUGCUGUGAGGCAUGCUGGAGGUAUCAGAAGUGCGAAUGCUGACAUAAGUAACGAUAAAGCGGGUGAAAAGCCCGCUCGCCGGAAGACCAAGGGUUCCUGUCCAACGUUAAUCGGGGCAGGGUGAGUCGACCCCUAAGGCGAGGCCGAAAGGCGUAGUCGAUGGGAAACAGGUUAAUAUUCCUGUACUUGGUGUUACUGCGAAGGGGGGACGGAGAAGGCUAUGUUGGCCGGGCGACGGUUGUCCCGGUUUAAGCGUGUAGGCUGGUUUUCCAGGCAAAUCCGGAAAACUAAGGCUGAGGCGUGAUGACGAGGCACUACGGUGCUGAAGCAACAAAUGCCCUGCUUCCAGGAAAAGCCUCUAAGCAUCAGGUAACAUCAAAUCGUACCCCAAACCGACACAGGUGGUCAGGUAGAGAAUACCAAGGCGCUUGAGAGAACUCGGGUGAAGGAACUAGGCAAAAUGGUGCCGUAACUUCGGGAGAAGGCACGCUGAUAUGUAGGUGAAGCGACUUGCUCGUGGAGCUGAAAUCAGUCGAAGAUACCAGCUGGCUGCAACUGUUUAUUAAAAACACAGCACUGUGCAAACACGAAAGUGGACGUAUACGGUGUGACGCCUGCCCGGUGCCGGAAGGUUAAUUGAUGGGGUCAGCGCAAGCGAAGCUCUUGAUCGAAGCCCCGGUAAACGGCGGCCGUAACUAUAACGGUCCUAAGGUAGCGAAAUUCCUUGUCGGGUAAGUUCCGACCUGCACGAAUGGCGUAAUGAUGGCCAGGCUGUCUCCACCCGAGACUCAGUGAAAUUGAACUCGCUGUGAAGAUGCAGUGUACCCGCGGCAAGACGGAAAGACCCCGUGAACCUUUACUAUAGCUUGACACUGAACAUUGAGCCUUGAUGUGUAGGAUAGGUGGGAGGCUUUGAAGUGUGGACGCCAGUCUGCAUGGAGCCGACCUUGAAAUACCACCCUUUAAUGUUUGAUGUUCUAACGUUGACCCGUGAUCCGGGUUGCGGACAGUGUCUGGUGGGUAGUUUGACUGGGGCGGUCUCCUCCUAAAGAGUAACGGAGGAGCACGAAGGUUGGCUAAUCCUGGUCGGACAUCAGGAGGUUAGUGCAAUGGCAUAAGCCAGCUUGACUGCGAGCGUGACGGCGCGAGCAGGUGCGAAAGCAGGUCAUAGUGAUCCGGUGGUUCUGAAUGGAAGGGCCAUCGCUCAACGGAUAAAAGGUACUCCGGGGAUAACAGGCUGAUACCGCCCAAGAGUUCAUAUCGACGGCGGUGUUUGGCACCUCGAUGUCGGCUCAUCACAUCCUGGGGCUGAAGUAGGUCCCAAGGGUAUGGCUGUUCGCCAUUUAAAGUGGUACGCGAGCUGGGUUUAGAACGUCGUGAGACAGUUCGGUCCCUAUCUGCCGUGGGCGCUGGAGAACUGAGGGGGGCUGCUCCUAGUACGAGAGGACCGGAGUGGACGCAUCACUGGUGUUCGGGUUGUCAUGCCAAUGGCACUGCCCGGUAGCUAAAUGCGGAAGAGAUAAGUGCUGAAAGCAUCUAAGCACGAAACUUGCCCCGAGAUGAGUUCUCCCUGACUCCUUGAGAGUCCUGAAGGAACGUUGAAGACGACGACGUUGAUAGGCCGGGUGUGUAAGCGCAGCGAUGCGUUGAGCUAACCGGUACUAAUGAACCGUGAGGCUUAACCUU
rnacentral:rRNA from 1 species